rnacentral:rRNA from 1 species
UACCAGCUCUCCGAGUGGUAGGGAUGAUUAUUGGGCUUAAAGCGUCCGUAGCCGGCUUAGCAAGUCUCCUGUUAAAUUCAGCGACCUAAUCGUUGAGCCGCGGGAGAUACUACUAGGCUAGGCGGCGGGAGAGGUCAACGGUACUUCCGGGGUAGGGGUGAAAUCCUAUAAUCCCGGGAGGACCACCAGUGGCGAAGGCUGUCGACCAGAACGCGCUCGACGGUGAGGGACGAAAGCUGGGGGAGCGAACCGGAUUAGAUACCCGGGUAGUCCCAGCUGUAAACGAUGCGGGCUAGGUGUUGGGGUGGCUACGUGCCACUUCAGUGCCGCAGGGAAGCCAUUAAGCCCGCCGCCUGGGGAGUGCGGCCGCAAGGCUGAAACUUAAAGGAAUUGGCGGGGGAGCACCACAAGGCGUGAAGCUUGCGGUUC